rnacentral:rRNA from 1 species
CACGUAGGGCGCAAGCGUUGUCCGGAAUUAUUGGGCGUAAAGAGCUCGUCGGCGGUCUGUUGCGUCCGCUGUGAAAACCCGGGGCUUAACCCCUGGCUUGCAGUGGAUACGGACAGACUAGAGGUAGGUAGGGGAGAAUGGAAUUCCCGGGGUAGCGGUGAAAUGCGCAGAUAUCGGGAGGAACACCGGUGGCGAAGGCGGUUCUCUGGGCCUUACCUGACGCUGAGGAGCGAAAGCGUGGGGAGCGAACAGG